UAAAGAAAGCGUAAUAGCUCACUGGUCGAGUCGGCCUGCGCGGAAGAUGUAACGGGGCUAAACCAUGCACCGAAGCUGCGGCAGCGACACUGUGUGUUGUUGGGUAGGGGAGCGUUCUGUAAGCCUGUGCAGGUGGCCUGUGAGGGUUGCUGGAGGUAUCAGAAGUGCGAAUGCUGACAUAAGUAACGAUAAAGCGGGUGAAAAGCCCGCUCGCCGGAAGACCAA
rnacentral:rRNA from 1 species